AGGGCACCACCAGGAGUGGAGCCUGCGGCUUAAUUUGACUCAACACGGGGAAACUCACCCGGCCCGGACACCGUAAGGAUUGACAGAUUGAUAGCUUUUUCAUGAUUCGGUGGAUGGUGGUGCAUGGCCGUUCUUAGUUCGUGGAGCGAUUUGUCUGGUUUAUUCCGAUAACGAGCGAGACUCUAGCCUACUAAAUAGUUCGCACAUUGUCUCUGUGUGUGUGACUUCUUAGAGGGAUUUUCGGUGUUCAGCCGCACGAAAUUGAGCAAUAACAGGUCUGUGAUGCCCUUAGAUGUCCGGGGCUGCACGCGCGCUACACUGGCAAAAUCAGCGUGCUUGUCCUUCCCCGAAAGGGGCUGGUAAACCCUUGAAAAUUUGCCGUGAUUGGGAUUGGAAAUUGCAAUUAUUUUCCAUGAACGAGGAAUUCCAAGUAAGUGCGUGUCAUCAGCUCGCGUUGAUUACGUCCCUGCCCUUUGUACACGCCGCCCGUCGCUGCCCGGGACUGAGCCAUUUCGAGAA
rnacentral:rRNA from 1 species